rnacentral:rRNA from 1 species
ACGAACGCUGGCGGCGCGCCUAAUACAUGCAAGUCGAGCGAGAAGACGUAGCAAUACGUUUGUAAAGCGGCGAACGGGUGAGGAAUACAUGGGUAACCUACCCUCGAGUGGGGAAUAACUAGCCGAAAGGUUAGCUAAUACCGCGUACGCUCCUUGGACUUCGGUUCAGGGAGGAAAGCGAUACCGUGGGUAUCGCGCUCUUGGAUGGGCUCAUGUCCUAUCAGCUUGUUGGUGAGGUAACGGCUCACCAAGGCUUCGACGGGUAGCUGGUCUGAGAGGACGAUCAGCCACACUGGCACUGCGACACGGGCCAGACUCCUACGGGAGGCAGCAGUAAGGAAUAUUGCGCAAUGGGCGAAAGCCUGACGCAGCGGCGCCGCGUGGGGGA